UGUGGGAGAAGAUUCCUCUCGGGUGCAGAUGGAUGCAGCUGUAGAGCCUGCAGGUGUCCAACCAGUAAUCCGUACAAAACUGGAGUUUUCCAAAGGUGCUGAUGGCUCAAAGAAGCUAACUUACGAGGAAGAAGUGAAGCAAAAUGUUAAAACUGCAAAAGGAAAACAAGUUCCCAAGCUGAAGGAGCUUUUCUCAACUUUCUUAGAUUUGUUAAGGAGGAUAAACCAGGCAGAAUAAUGCAACUUUAUACAUAUUUACUAAUAAAAAUGCAGCACAAUG